ACAGGGGGUGCAAACGUUGCUCGGAAUCAUUGGGCGUAAAGCGCACGUAGGCGGUUCGUUAUGUCGGAUGUGAAAGCCCUUGGCUUAACCGAGGAAGUGCAUCCGAAACUGGCGAGCUAGAGUACUAAAGAGGAUCGCGGAAUUCCCGGUGUAGAGGUGAAAUUCGUAGAUAUCGGGAGGAACACCGGUGGCAAAGGCGGCGAUCUGGGUAGAUACUGACGCUGAGGUGCGAAAGCGUGGGGAGCAAACAGGA
rnacentral:rRNA from 1 species